UCCAGACUCCUACGGGAGGCAGCAGUGGGGGAUAUUGCACAAUGGGGGGAACCCUGAUGCAGCGACGCCGCGUGGGUGAAGGAGUAUUUCGGUAUGUAAAGCCCUAUCGGCAGGGAAGAAAUUGGACGGUACCUGACUAAGAAGCCCCGGCUAACUACGUGCCCGCAGCCGCGGUAAUACGUAGGGGGCAAGCGUUAUCCUGAUUCACUGGGUGUAAAGGGAGCGUAGACGGCCAGGCAAGCCUGGAGUGAAAGCCCGGGGCCCAACCCCGGGACUGCUCUGGGAACUGUCCGGCUGGAGUGCGGGAGGGGCAGGCGGAAUUCCUGGUGUAGCGGUGAAAUGCGUAGAUAUCAGGAGGAACACCGGUGGCGAAGGCGGCCUGCUGGACUGCGACUGACGUUGAGGCCCGAAAGCGUGGGGAGCAAACAGGAUUAGAUACCCGAGUAC
rnacentral:rRNA from 1 species